rnacentral:tRNA from 1 species
GCCGGGAUGCUGGAAUUGGCAUACAGGUCGGUCUCAAAAACCGAUGUCCGUAAGGAUGUGUGGGUUCAACUCCCUCUCCCGGCACCA